rnacentral:antisense_RNA from 1 species
ACCGAGCUGAGCCACAGCGGGUCCGGCUGGCCGAUGCCCUCGUCGCCGAGCUGGUCGCCGUCGGUGACGACCCCGAGGAUCUCCUCCUCGCCGUACUUGCCCUCGGCGAAGCGGGUGAACCGGCCGUGCACGACGAGGUAGGCCUCCGUGACUGGCUGCCCGGCCUCCACGAGGACCUGGCCGGCCCGGACCUCACGCACCCGGAACCGGGUGGCGAUCUCCUUCAGGACGUCGAGGUCGGAGUAGCCGCGCAGCACCGGGAGUUCGGUGAGCGUCUGCGGGAUGACCUUGAUGUCGUAGGCGCCGUUCUGCUCGAACUGCACCCGGCCGCGUCCCACGCGCAGCUGGAGACGUCGGUUGACCCGGUAGGUGCCGCCUUUGACGUCCACCCACGGCAGCAUCUUGAGCAGCCAUCGCGAGGAGAUGGCCUGCAUCUGCGGUUCGGACUUGGUGGUCGUCGUGAGCUGGCGUGCCGCGUGGGUGCUGAGACUGGUGAG